AUUCUUUUGUAGUUCAUAAGCAUGAUGAUUGGGUGUUCACACGGAUGUGUGAGAUGUGCCUCUCUCAAACCUUGUUACGACGUCGGCACGUUACCCAUCUGACA
rnacentral:snoRNA from 1 species